CCCAGUAGGGCUAGUAUGCAGUCGAGCGGAUGACGGGAGCUUGCUCCUUGAUUCGCGGCGGACGGGUGAGUAAUGCCUAGGAAUCUGCCUGGUAGUGGGGGACAACGUUUCGAAAGGAACGCUAAUACCGCAUACGUCCUACGGGAGAAAGCAGGGGACCUUCGGGCCUUGCGCUAUCAGAUGAGCCUAGGUCGGAUUAGCUAGUUGGUGGGGUAAUGGCUCACCAAGGCGACGAUCCGUAACUGGUCUGAGAGGAUGAUCAGUCACACUGGAACUGAGACACGGUCCAGACUCCUACGGGAGGCAGCAGUGGGGAAUAUUGGACAAUGGGCGAAAGCCUGAUCCAGCCAUGCCGCGUGUGUGAAGAAGGUCUUCGGAUUGUAAAGCACUUUAAGUUGGGAGGAAGGGCAGUAAGUUAAUACCUUGCUGUUUUGACGUUACCGACAGAAUAAGCACCGGCUAACUCUGUGCCAGCAGCCGCGGUAAUACAGAGGGUGCAAGCGUUAAUCGGAAUUACUGGGCGUAAAGCGCGCGUAGGUGGUUCGUUAAGUUGGAUGUGAAAGCCCCGGGCUCAACCUGGGAACUGCAUCCAAAACUGGCGAGCUAGAGUACGGUAGAGGGUGGUGGAAUUUCCUGUGUAGCGGUGAAAUGCGUAGAUAUAGGAAGGAACACCAGUGGCGAAGGCGACCACCUGGACUGAUACUGACACUGAGGUGCGAAAGCGUGGGGAGCAAACAGGAUUAGAUAC
rnacentral:rRNA from 1 species